UGAAAAUUUGAGUGUAAUUUAAUAAAUGAAAAAAAAAUUAGUUUUCUCUACAAUUAUUCUUCUGCAACGAUAUUUUUUUUCCUAUUUAUCUGCAAUGUUAUCAGGUUAUCAGGCUGCCUUGUAUUCUGCUACUGAAGCCUUGCCUCCAAGCUCACCUCAUCAGACCUCAACCAGUCCACCUAUGUUACCUACUCCUCCCUUCCAAAGUUAUGCCACUGCCUCUUAUCAGGAAACUUAUGGUAAGAAUUUUUUAAAUUAAUGGACAGGAAAGCUUAUAGAAAAUGAACAAGUCUUUUUUUAUAAUUUGUUAAGAUAAAGAUGCAUUUUUAUACAUAAGAAUACAAUUUAUAUUUUUUCACAAAAUAUAUGAAUAAUUUAAGUUUAGAUUGUUUAAACUAAUUUAAAUUCUGCACUAUAUAAAUAUUAAUUAAUUUUUAA
rnacentral:lncRNA from 1 species